AUGGGCAUGCAGUCUAUGAUUGCUGUCCGGUGCACGAACCUUGUCAACCCUGUAUGCAACUGGCUUGGUGAGAUCUACAAGCCUGCCUCCAGGGAAUUCGUGAUUCCUGGACGCGGAAGACUUCCGUUGAACGAGGAAUCCGUGUUCUGCACUUUGGGUGUGCCUCGUGGACAUAUCAAAAUCCCGUACGAGGUCAAUAAUGAGAUCAAGGAAGCUAUGUUCGCCCGUUUGUUUCCUGGAUUGGAGUCCAUGCCGAACACGUCUGUACUGGCAGAUUCGCUGCGGGCCAUGACGACGCACGGAGAUGUUUUCAAGAUGAAGUUACUCAUAUACCCCAUCUCAGCUAUUUUCGCGCCGACCACUUCCCUUCGCCCAAGCAACAAAUGUUUCCCCAUCCUGGCGAAUCUGAAAAAUGUGAAGAACAUGAACUGGUGUAAGUUUAUUGCCGACUUUCUCCACGAUGCUUUCAAAAACAAGAUGUACCAGAAGGGUUGUCGACUGCAUUUAAUGCUCAUGUAUGUCGACUGUCUUGAUCUGUCCACCGUGGAUUUCUCUGGGGUAGGAGGCCCGCCGCCUAUGCACAAGUUUGCUGUUUCUGCGUGGACCAUCAACGCUGUCAAGGCAGUGCUUGCCGUAGACAGGGCAACUGAUACCACAUAUGGAAAACUACAGCUGAUGGCCAAGCAUGCUAUAGACUACAUCGUGUUUGGGGGCCUCAAAAAUUUGGAAAGUGGAUGGACGUGCACUCAGCUCCGUCUUGCCCUUCUGAGGCGAGGCCACCAGUUGAGCAUCUAA
rnacentral:rRNA from 1 species